rnacentral:rRNA from 1 species
GAUGAACGCUGGCGGCGUGCCUAAUACAUGCAAGUCGAGCGAACGGACGAGAAGCUUGCUUCUCUGAUGUUAGCGGCGGACGGGUGAGUAACACGUGGAUAACCUACCUAUAAGACUGGGAUAACUUCGGGAAACCGGAGCUAAUACCGGAUAAUAUUUUGAACCGCAUGGUUCAAAAGUGAAAGACGGUCUUGCUGUCACUUAUAGAUGGAUCCGCGCUGCAUUAGCUAGUUGGUAAGGUAACGGCUUACCAAGGCAACGAUGCAUAGCCGACCUGAGAGGGUGAUCGGCCACACUGGAACUGAGACACGGUCCAGACUCCUACGGGAGGCAGCAGUAGGGAAUCUUCCGCAAUGGGCGAAAGCCUGACGGAGCAACGCCGCGUGAGUGAUGAAGGUCUUCGGAUCGUAAAACUCUGUUAUUAGGGAAGAACAUAUGUGUAAGUAACUGUGCACAUCUUGACGGUACCUAAUCAGAAAGCCACGGCUAACUACGUGCCAGCAGCCGCGGUAAUACGUAGGUGGCAAGCGUUAUCCGGAAUUAUUGGGCGUAAAGCGCGCGUAGGCGGUUUUUUAAGUCUGAUGUGAAAGCCCACGGCUCAACCGUGGAGGGUCAUUGGAAACUGGAAAACUUGAGUGCAGAAGAGGAAAGUGGAAUUCCAUGUGUAGCGGUGAAAUGCGCAGAGAUAUGGAGGAACACCAGUGGCGAAGGCGACUUUCUGGUCUGUAACUGACGCUGAUGUGCGAAAGCGUGGGGAUCAAACAGGAUUAGAUACCCUGGUAGUCCACGCCGUAAACGAUGAGUGCUAAGUGUUAGGGGGUUUCCGCCCCUUAGUGCUGCAGCUAACGCAUUAAGCACUCCGCCUGGGGAGUACGACCGCAAGGUUGAAACUCAAAGGAAUUGACGGGGACCCGCACAAGCGGUGGAGCAUGUGGUUUAAUUCGAAGCAACGCGAAGAACCUUACCAAAUCUUGACAUCCUUUGACAACUCUAGAGAUAGAGCCUUCCCCUUCGGGGGACAAAGUGACAGGUGGUGCAUGGUUGUCGUCAGCUCGUGUCGUGAGAUGUUGGGUUAAGUCCCGCAACGAGCGCAACCCUUAAGCUUAGUUGCCAUCAUUAAGUUGGGCACUCUAAGUUGACUGCCGGUGACAAACCGGAGGAAGGUGGGGAUGACGUCAAAUCAUCAUGCCCCUUAUGAUUUGGGCUACACACGUGCUACAAUGGACAAUACAAAGGGCAGCGAAACCGCGAGGUCAAGCAAAUCCCAUAAAGUUGUUCUCAGUUCGGAUUGUAGUCUGCAACUCGGCUACAUGAAGCUGGAAUCGCUAGUAAUCGUAGAUCAGCAUGCUACGGUGAAUACGUUCCCGGGUCU